CCGCCCCCACGCGCCGUCCGGUGCGGUUGGCGCCCACGCGGAAGCGGGCAAACCCUGAGCGGCCCCAGCUGUCACCGCCCGAGGCGCCGUCAGGAAGGCGGCGAGUUACCGUGAGCACGGCAGGAAUGCUGACGGGGAAGGAGCUGACGGAGAAGGCGGACGGCAUCGUUCCGGAAAGGCCCACCCUCACCCCCUCCGCCUCGCUGUCCCCGCCCAGACCGCUCGCACGGGGAACGCCUCCGGCGUCGCCUCUCGCGGCAUUUCCACUUGUCGCGAAACUUGCGCGGAUCCAGCCAUCUCGCGAUAUCCGCUUGUGGGGGACCGGAGUCACGUCUCGCGGUAUCCCACGGCUUUAGAAGGCGUCUGGGGCUGGAACCGGAAGUAGGUCCCGGAUGGGCUCCCUCCCGGCGGGACAGGGGAGCGCGUCGGUGUCCACGGUUCCGCGUCCUGACCCGGGGCGGGUGCGCGUCCUGCCUGCACCCCGGGGGGACGGAGGGCACAGGGACCGUGACCGCGCCCGGGGGACCGCGGGGGCAGUGGCCUCACCCCGGGGGACCGAGGGCGACGGUGAUUGUGUCCGUGCUCCUGGGGGUUACCAGGUGACUCUGCACACCGCUGGACCCAGAGGGAUCGGGGGAGACAGUGUCCCGGCUCCUGGGGCCACACAGGGCCUGGGAGGGACCCCCUUUUGGUGGCACAUGCCCUGUGGGUGGGUGCACGUCACCUGGCUGUGGUCGCUGCACACCUGGGCCGUCGGAGUGCUGCCCGGGGAGCACAGGUGCGGUGCGGAAGGCCCUGCCCCGGGGCUUCAGAUGGAGAAAUGUUUUCUGAGCGUCAUGGGAUCGUUCAGACCCGUUAUUUUUGACUUCGUGGAUCGCCGUUGCGGAAUGCCAGUCGUUUAAAAACAUGCUUGUGAAAACUCUGUGAUUAUGGAUAAUAAAAGUUUAUAGGUUAAAUCCAAGAA